UACGUAGGGUGCGAGCGUUGUCCGGAAUUAUUGGGCGUAAAGAGCUCGUAGGCGGCUCAGUAAGUCGGGUGUGAAAUUUCAGGGCUCAACCCUGAAACGCCACCCGAUACUGCUGUGGCUAGAGUCCGGUAGGGGAGCGUGGAAUUCCUGGUGUAGCGGUGAAAUGCGCAGAUAUCAGGAGGAACACCGGUGGCGAAGGCGGCACUCUGGGCCGGAACUGACGCUGAGGAGCGAAAGCGUGGGGAGCGAACAGG
rnacentral:rRNA from 1 species